rnacentral:lncRNA from 1 species
CCAAUUCGAACCCAGUAUACAUGGUAGAGACUCGGCAUGAAGAGAGAGUCCCACCAGGGUUCGAGCAAGUUAUAUUGGUACAGACCCGAGAGAAGGAUAAUAGGCUUUGCUUGUUUCGCUUCUCCCUCUAACGCGAGUGAUUUCGCGGGAGGUGGUUACAGAGGGGAGUUCUGAUCAAACUCUUCUGCCUCUGUCCCUGGUUCUUCCCUGAAGUGAAGAUCUAUGGUCGGGAAUCGCUAUCCUAGACAAUCAUGCUGUUUGAGUUGGUAGCUAAUAUAAGGUAAUCUAAAUUACCUUUCUUUUUUGCCUUCUUAUUAAUUAAUUUAAAUAUAUGAUAUAUAAUUUAACCUAAAUUUAAGAACUUUAUGUAAGGAUAUUCUUUAUAUAUAUUUGUCACUAUUCCAUUUUUUAUGCAUCAGUUCUAUUUGUCUUUUUAUUAUUAAUUGUUUCCCCUCCUUUAUCUAAUUGCUUUAUAUUUUUACCAAUAACAAUGUUUCAAAUUUUCAAUUCUACUAAAAACAUAUUUCCAUAUAUGAUAUAUACUUUUAUAAACAGAUGUAAAUGUUAAAGACAAACUCUUCUGCCUCUGUCCCUGGAUCUUCCCUGAAGUGAAGAUCUAUGGUCGGGAUUCGCUAUCCUAGACAAUCAUGCUGUUUGAGUUGGUAGCUAAUAUAAGGUAAUCUAAAUUACCUUUCUUUUUUGCCUUCUUAUUAAUUAAUUUAAAUAUAUGAUAUAUAAUUUAACCUAAAUUUAAGAACUUUAUGUAAGGAUAUUCUUUAUAUAUAUUUGUCACUAUUCCAUUUUUUAUGCAUCAGUUCUAUUUGUCUUUUUAUUAUUAAUUGUUUCCCCUCCUUUAUCUAAUUGCUUUAUAUUUUUACCAGUAACAAUGUUUCAAAUUUUCAAUUCUACUAAAAACAUAUUUCCAUAUAUGAUAUAUACUUUUAUAAACAGAUGUAAAUGUUAAAGACAAACUCUUCUGCCUCUGUCCCUGGAUCUUCCCUGAAGUGAAGAUCUAUGGUCGGGAUUCGCUAUCCUAGACAAUCAUGCUGUUUGAGUUGGUAGCUAAUAUAAGGUAAUCUAAAUUACCUUUCUUUUUUGCCUUCUUAUUAAUUAAUUUAAAUAUAUGAUAUAUAAUUUAACCUAAAUUUAAGAACUUUAUGUAAGGAUAUUCUUUAUAUAUAUUUGUCACUAUUCCAUUUUUUAUCCAUCAGUUCUAUUUGUCUUUUUAUUAUUAAUUGUUUCCCCUCCUUUAUCUAAUUGCUUUAUAUUUUUACCAGUAACAAUGUUUCAAAUUUUCAAUUCUACUAAAAACAUAUUUCCAUAUAUGAUAUAUACUUUUAUAAACAGAUGUAAAUGUUAAAGACAAACUCUUCUGCCUAUGUCCCUGGAUCUUCCCUGAAGUGAAGAUCUAUGGUCGGGAUUCGCUAUCCUAGACAAUCAUGCUGUUUGAGUUGGUAGCUAAUAUAAGGUAAUCUAAAUUACCUUUCUUUUUUGCCUUCUUAUUAAUUAAUUUAAAUAUACGAUAUAUAAUUUAACCUAAAUUUAAGAACUUUAUGUAAGGAUAUUCUUUAUAUAUAUUUGUCACUAUUCCAUUUUUUAUCCAUCAGUUCUAUUUGUCUUUUUAUUAUUAAUUGUUUCCCCUCCUUUAUCUAAUUGCUUUAUAUUUUUACCAGUAACAAUGUUUCAAAUUUUCAAUUCUACUAAAAACAUAUUUCCAUAUAUGAUAUAUACUUUUAUAAACAUAUGUAAAUGUUAAAGACAAACUCUUCUGCCUCUGUCCCUGGAUCUUCCCUGAAGGGAAGAUCUAUGGUCGGGAUUCGCUAUCCUAGACAAUCAUGCUGUUUGAGUUGGUAGCUAAUAUAAGGUAAUCUAAAUUACCUUUCUUUUUUGUCUUCUUAUUAAUUAAUUUAAAUAUAUGAUAUAUAAUUUAACCUAAAUUUAAGAACUUUAUGUAAGGAUAUUCUUUAUAUAUAUUUGUCACUAUUCCAUUUUUUAUGCAUCAGUUCUAUUUGUCUUUUUAUUAUUAAUUGUUUCCCCUCCUUUAUCUAAUUGCUUUAUAUUUUUACCAGUAACAAUGUUUCAAAUUUUCAAUUCUACUAAAAACAUAUUUCCAUAUAUGAUAUAUACUUUUAUAAACAGAUGUAAAUGUUAAAGACAAACUCUUCUGCCUCUGUCCCUGGAUCUUCCCUGAAGUGAAGAUCUAUGGUCGGGAUUCGCUAUCCUAGACAAUCAUGCUGUUUGAGUUGGUAGCUAAUAUAAG